rnacentral:misc_RNA from 1 species
GAUGAAGAACGUAGCGAAAUGCGAUAAGUAAUGUGAAUUGCAGAAUUCAGUGAAUCAUCGAGUCUUUGAACGCACAUUGCGCCCCCUGGUAUUCCGGGGGGCAUGCCUGUCCGAGCGUCAUUGCUGCCCUCAAGCACGGCUUGUGUGUUGGGCCUCCGUCCUCCUCCCGGGGGACGGGCCCGAAAGGCAGCGGCGGCACCGCGUCCGGUCCUCGAGCGUAUGGGGCUUCGUCACCCGCUCUUGUAGGCCCGGCCGGCGCUUGCCGACACAUCAAUCUUUUUUCCAGGUUGACCUCGGAUCAGGUAGGGAUACCCGCUGAACUUAAGCAUAUCAAUAAGCCGGAGGA